CCCAGGCAAGAACACUUCUCCAGGGGAUCGUCCUGACCCAGGGAUCUGAAACAAUGUCUCCUGCAUUAGCAGGCAGAUUCUUUACCACUGAGCCACCAGGGAAGCUGUUGGUAGCCUAUAGUGGUUGUUAAAUAUUUUGAAUAUCACAUCCAGGUAGUAUGCAGCACUCCUAUUGGACUUUUUAGAUUACCAUUCAGUAUGGAGCAUUCCUAUUGGAUCUUUUUGACUACCAUUCAGUAUGCAGCAUUCCUGUUGGCCACUCUGACAGACGCUUACACCAGUGCUUCCAACCAGCGUUUCCACAAUGGCUUCCCAGACAGGUGCUGUAGGAAGGGGAUCUGGCAUAACAUCUCAUCAAACUCACCCACUGUGAGGGGCCAUCCACGUCUGCAAGGGAGAUGGGUCAAUGUUUCACGAUAGGAUAUCUGGAAAACUUGCCUUCCUCUCCCACCUCUCACUUCCCAGGAAUGAACCCACAGGAGGGACCUCUGCAUGCCUGGCACAUGUUCUCUUGGCCAGGAGGAUGUGGCUUCCAGGAGGAAGGUGGCUUAAUUCCUGGUCACAGGAUGUACUCUUCCCUCCUGCGCUGAAGCUGUGGCUCCUGAAAGAGGGGUCAUAAGAAUAUGGACAUUAGCUGGUACUAUGUGCAGACACAGGGCUCAGGCCUAUGCACACGUCGGCUCUGAGCAAUUCCUGUACCACAGAGGGGCUGGGAGCAGAAAGUCAGGUAACAAGGAUAGUGUCCUCAGCACAAUGCUGGACCCUACUAAAUGCUUAGCAAACAGCAGUUUCUUUGUCACAGUCUCAGUUACAAGUGAGGAGAUGGAGGCUCGAAGAAGGGGAAAGAGGGAGGCAGCUAUGAAUGGAAGCCAGGGAAGUAAUAGUAUCCAGGACAUGUGAAUUUCCUGAGCAGAGCAAGGAGCUUAGCCUAACACCGGAGCUGGGUAAUGUUGGUCCUGUCUCUGUAUUAGACUGACACCGUCUAGGCACUGGGGAUGCAGCGGUGAACAUGGCAAAGCCUUGACCAGAUGGAGUGGACAUUCUCACACUGGAUAUACUUCUCUCAUUUACCUGCUUGAAACCAAAGAACUCCACAUGGUGAACUUCCUUCAACUUGAAUCCCUGAGUGACUGCAUGGAUCCCUGAGCGACAGUAUGGACCCCUGAGUGACUGCAACGGACAGGAUUCUUUUAUCCAGAAGAUGUGUUGAUGAUGAAUACAUCCAAGGGAUAUCACCAUGAUGAAUGUCUCUGGAUUUUGAGGGUACAUGUGUAAUGAUUCGUGACUACUAAGACUCAGCUGUGUAAUGAUGAAGAAGAGAGAGGUAGAAACUGUGGAAAAAUACACCAACUAUUUCUUGUCAGAAAAGGUGGACCCACUGCCUAAUUCCUGCCACUGUUACUAAAUGUACAUGGUUUUCUGUCCCUAGAUCUUUGUCUCAUCUAAGAUUCAGCUGUCAAAAGCAAGUAAUAGUUGAUUUUUUUCAAAGGUCUUUAGAAAAAAAUUUCAAGAUUUCAUUUCAUGACACGUCUAGGUGACUUCUGUCCCUUUAAUAGCGAAAAGAACAGUUUCAUCGACACUACAUCUGUCCCUUCCCUUCUUUGUACGUUUUUUUAAAAAAAGAGAACUAGUUGGUAACAAUGAAAUGUGAAAACAGUGAUUUGUAACAUGCAGUCACAUUGACUAAUGGGAACAUGGGAAUGCCUGUUUUGCAUUUAGAUUUCUGAUAUCAUCUCGUUAUAGUGUCUGGAAUAUCCUUUUUGGUCAAGGCAGUGCCAGAAGUCUUGCUGGGAAACGGUGAGAAAUCCUGAAACUGCCAGAUGCUUGGUUGCCGGGUGAGCCAAAGUGGCCCCGGGAAGGAAGACGCCAGGGUACGAGGCCAAGUUGGUGUCCUAGCCUGGGUAUCAGGAACAAGCCUGCCUCUUUCCCAACAGAUGUGUGCCUGGGGCAGGUCUCUUCACUUCUUAGCUGUAAAAUGACAACUAUGAGCUAACCUAUUUCAAAACAUCAAAACAUCUCCCAUUGCCUAAUUCCUAAAAUCCCCUUCCAAGCCCACUGACCCAAAGGAGAAUUCCAGAUAAUGUUGUAUAAUGAUAGGUCCACCAUAGGACGAAUUGAUCACGUAGGUAUCAGAUGUCUAUCACUUUGAUCCACUCACUAUCCAUUCUCCUUUCUUUGCAUAACAAGACCCAGCAUUUUUUUUUCUCUUAUCAUCUCUCUCUCUUUUUUUUAAAAAAUAUCUAUUUAUUUGGCUGCUCCUGGUCUUCCUUGUGGCAUGCAGAAUCUUUAGUGGCAGCAUGUGGGAUCUAAUUCCCUGUUAGGGAUUGAACUUGGGUCCCCUGCACUAGGAGCACAGAGUCUUAGCCACUGGACAACCAGGAUAGUCCUUAUCAGCCCUCUCCUGUUGUAUGGUAAAUGUGGGCUGACUACCACCACUGUAUUCUCCAGUAGGGACAAGACCUAGUCCCAGCCAAUCAAAGCAUGCCCUCCUCCUGGUUAGUGAUUGGCUCAGGAAUGGACAUGUGACUCAAAUUAGGCCAAUGAGAGUCAUUCCUGGGAAGAGUGCUGGAAGAAUGACCAAAGCCUCUUUCUUGGUCCAGCCUGAAUUGAUAAACAAGAAAGAUAGAAACCUGGAGCUUAUAUGCAGCCAUCUGUCUCACAUUGAAGACAGUCUGUUUCAGAAUGAAGCCAGCUAGCAGGAAGUAGAGCUGAGAGGGAGACAAAUAGAUUCAGCCAACAUGGCUUAUGCCUAUGGAGGCAAUCAUGGCUGGAACUAAUAGACUUCUUAGUUUAUAUGAGAAAAUGUUCCUUAAAAAAUUUUCACAUGACCCUGAAUAGGGUUUUCUUUUUUUUUUUU
ensembl:lncRNA